GACAGAGGUGCCAAGCGUUAGGCGGAAUCACUGGGCUUAAAGCGUGUGUAGGCGGACCUGUAAGUGCCUUGUGAAAGCCCCGGGCUCAACCUGGGAACGGCGCGCGAAACGGGGGGGCUGGAGUUCGGGAGAGGAGCGUGGAAUUCCCAGUGUAGAGGUGAAAUGCGUAGAUAUCGCUUGGAACGCCGAAGGUGAAAACAGACUGCUGGGGUUGCGCCGACGCUGAGACACGAAAGCCAGGGGAGCAAACGGG
rnacentral:rRNA from 1 species